rnacentral:misc_RNA from 1 species
GAUGAAGAACGUAGCGAAAUGCGAUAAGUAAUGUGAAUUGCAGAAUUCAGUGAAUCAUCGAAUCUUUGAACGCACAUUGCGCCCGCCAGUAUUCUGGCGGGCAUGCCUGUUCGAGCGUCAUUACAACCCUCAGGCCCCCGGGCCUGGCGUUGGGGAUCGGCGGAAGCCCCCUGCGGGCACAACGCCGUCCCCCAAAUACAGUGGCGGUCCCGCCGCAGCUUCCAUUGCGUAGUAGAUAACACCUCGCAACUGGAGAGCGGCGCGGCCACGCCGUAAAACACCCAACUUCUGAAUGUUGACCUCGAAUCAGGUAGGAAUACCCGCUGAACUUAAGCAUAUCAAUAAGCGGAGGA